AGAGGUGGAAAUUCAUAGUCCAUGCUCAAGAUCAAAUGGCAUCUCUCAGACUGGAAAAUCCUUCUGAAGUCAGUUCCAGGCAUCCCUGGAAGCCUGGAUAAUUUGGGAAAAGGCUGACUCAAUGUAAGGUGCAAGACCAAUCCUUUGGCUUGGAGAACUGAUCCAUCUCCACACCUGUAUCUUCAAGUUGGACUCUCUUCUUCAACCCAUGUACAUGCCCAAUAUUCCCUCAUCAUUGACAAAUACCUUCCUUUGACUUUAUCGAUUCUCUGACUACCACCUUUUCAAUGAAGAAAGACUUCCCUGGCCAAGUGCCAUCUCUCGGUGCGUCCACGGUUACUGACGCUUGUAUUCUCCACAGCAAUUACAACUGCAUUGAAAUCAUGGAUCCACAUGCCCGUUUCACCCACCAGACUGUGACGUCAGAGUCAGUGACAUUGCCUUCAACAUCUCUGUACGCUCAGAACCCAGGAUGGUGCUUUCUAGAGAAGGUCCUCAAUCCAUCCUCCUUGAAACGAAUGGACACCAACCAACGUGUGUAAUGAGUGGUUCCAGAAGAGAAUGCUCUAGGAGUGCAGCUUGGGAUGCUAGGAACACACGCCUGUCUGGAGCCCAGCUCAUUCCCCGCUUCAUGGUGGAUGUUCAAAAAUAGGCAUGAGAACAAGUGAAGCGAGAACAUGUAUUUCUCAAUUCUCAAAUUAUUACUGGUGACAUCCACCAUCUGGCACCAGAUCUCAGGAGGCUGAGAUGGAAAGUUAUGGGAAACUUUGUACCUCUUGCCAGUUGAGUUCAUGACACCCAAUUUUUAAUUUUUCAGCCCCAAAUUUGCCCACAUGACCUAUUUCUACUGUAACUGCCACUGGAACUUUUGACCAGGGUAAAUCUUGUGCCUUCUCCCAGUGCCUCCUGCUCUCCUCAUCAGUCCCCAUCUGUCCUCUAACUAUGCUGACUUCCGUCCAAACUACUUUUGGACUGGCCCUGGCAUAGCCCUGCAUUAGUGAUGCAAGGCAGCAAGGUGUUUAUUUAUUUAUUUAAUUAGGAAAACAGAACAAAUUCUGGGAUGUAAUGAGAAAUGACAUAUACAUAAGAGGCUUAUGACCAAAAUAUCUUAAUACUCAUUGCAAAAGAAGUUCUACUUUUUAGCUUUACAUUGGAAGGCUUUAAAAAUAUGUCUGGGAGUGCUGAAGAGAGUUAUACUUUCUUCCCCCACAUGUGACCUAAACCUCCAAUUCAGCUGCUUAAAUAGCUGACACCCUAAAACGGAGAGGUCAUAUUCCAGGGAGAAAUAUG